rnacentral:rRNA from 1 species
AGUGAACGCUGGCGGUAGGCCUAACACAUGCAAGUCGAACGGCAGCACAGUAAGAGCUUGCUCUUACGGGUGGCGAGUGGCGGACGGGUGAGGAAUACAUCGGAAUCUACUUUUUCGUGGGGGAUAACGUAGGGGAACUUACGCUAAUACCUCAUACGACCUACGGGUGAAAGCAGGGGAUCUUCGGACCUUGCGCGAUUGAAUGAGCCGAUGUCGGAUUAGCUAGUUGGCGGGGUAAAGGCCCACCAAGGCGACGAUCCGUAGCUGGUCUGAGAGGAUGAUCAGCCACACUGGAACUGAGACACGGUCCAGACUCCUACGGGAGGCAGCAGUGGGGAAUAUUGGACAAUGGGCGCAAGCCUGAUCCAGCCAUACCGCGUGGGUGAAGAAGGCCUUCGGGUUGUAAAGCCCUUUUGUUGGGAAAGAAAAGCAGCAGGUUAAUACCCCGCUGUUCUGACGGUACCCAAAGAAUAAGCACCGGCUAACUUCGUG